AGUUCCUGGGUUGUAAGAUUACUGCGCUGUCGUAAACGCUGUUUAAAAAACUGAUGUUUUUAUGCAUCCUUAAACCACGAAAAGAUCAAUAUCGCGGUAUUGGUGGAGUAAAAAUGAGCAUUCAGACGCCAACAGGCCGACACUAGCGUUAUUUCCGGUUUACAAUGCGGACUACGUGACAUGGCGGAUCGACAUCGAGGGCGCUCUUCGCGUUUUCCUUUUUGAGAAAGUGCUCAGAGUUUUGGAAAUAGAGGAGGAGGGUGAACUACUGAGCCGGGAUUGAAGGGUCUUGGGGGCAGCAUCACUUUUGAAAGUUUGUCUCGGUAAUUUCCUGGAGUCUCCAAACCUCCAACUGGUCUGGUUUGUUUACAUUUUGGCCCAGGCGUGUAUGCGUUUUAUCAACCAUUUACGAGACAACGCGCUCCAGCUCUUCUGGCUGGUGUUUCGAGACUCGGUUCAGUAAAUAGAAUGUUACCGAGCCGGGUUGGAUCGGCACCAUCUGGAAACGGGUCACCUUCAGGCAGAGGUAACACAGGACACGGUUCGGGGAUUAUCGGCAGCGGGAUCCGUCCCGUUUUGGUCAGAGCAGGGCUAGCUUUACCGGGGGUCAGCGAGAGUGCCAGUGCUACCGGGCGACAGGGGGAAAGAGACGUCGUCGGGAUGCUGGGGGCUAAUGGUCCAGGGGGUCCGAGAGGUGCGAGACCGGGGAACGGAACUGGGGUGACUCCUCUACAGACCGCCGUCCAGGGCAACAUGGUGGGGCUAAACGCGGGAGUUGUGUUGCCUCACGGAGCCAGGUUCAACCCGGACAGAGAAAGUGCUCCUAUUUGCAGCGGCUCGGACAAUGACUCUGACUCCGGAGAUGAUGAUGACCCAGUGGGUUCACUCGGGGACAGCAGGAGAGGGGUGAAGCGGGAGAGAGGGGAGAUGGAAGCUGCGGUGACUGGGCAGGAGGUGGGAAUACCUCCCGGAGGUUACGGCAUGGUACCCGGAGGGGUCGCCGGGGCAAAGCCAGGGAAGAAAACACGUGGGCGAGUAAAGAUAAAGAUGGAAUUUAUUGACAACAAGUUGAGACGGUACACCACUUUCAGCAAGAGGAAGACUGGUAUUAUGAAAAAGGCCUAUGAACUCUCCACCCUGACGGGAACCCAGGUUCUGCUGCUUGUGGCCAGUGAAACGGGUCACGUCUACACUUUUGCCACCCGCAAACUCCAACCCAUGAUUACAAGUGAAACGGGCAAAGCUCUGAUCCAAACAUGCCUCAACUCGCCGGACUCGCCGCCGCGCUCUGACCCCUCCACGGACCAGCGCAUGAGUGCCACGGGCUUUGAGGAGACAGACCUCACCUAUCAGGUGUCUGAGUCGGAGAGCAUGGGCGACAUAAAGGAUACACUGAAGCCCACGUUCACGGUAGCUAGCCUACCAGGCAGCACCAGCAGCGCCCAGUGCACCGUGCCCACCACCUCCACCACCAUGCAGGUGAGCAGCGGACCUUCGUUUCCCAUCACCAACUACCUGGCGCCCGUCUCGGCCAGCGGCAACAUCAGUGCCAACGGCACCGUCCUCAAGACCGCUGGCGCCUCAGGAGUCAUGCAGCUGCCCGGGGGCUUCACUUUCAUGCCCGCAGGCACUCCUCUCCCCCCCGGCACCCCCACCAUUCCUCUGAGCCAGCUGCAGCAGCACUCCCUGGCCCUGCAGGGGCAGCAUGGUCAGACCCUGGCUGCCGCCCCGCAGUCACAGCAGGGACAGCAGGCUGUCUUCCGCUUCCCUGCUGCUGUCUCCCUCACAGGAGCAGGGGUUCCCCAGCAGCUCCAGGCUAUCACGGUACACCACAGCACCCAGUCCACCUCCAACAGCGACAGCAGCCUUGACAUCUGCCACACCUCCACAAACUCCACCGCGACGGUGAGUCUCCCAGCAACCAUCGUCACCUCGUCGGUGCCGACGUCUGUUGCGGGUCACAUGAUGUACCCCAGCCCGCACACAGUGAUGUACGCCUCCACGCCGGGGAUGACUGACGGGGGGCUGACCGUGCUCAACGCCUUCUCCCAGGGCACGUCGACCAUGCAGGUGUCCCACGCACAGGGCCAAGACUCAGGCGCGGUCCCUCAGGUGUUCCUCACAGCACCUCCAGGCACGCUGCAGAUCCCCGUCUCUGCGGUGCAGCUACACCCAGUACGGCAAGAUCUGCAUUUUACAAAUGGUGAUUGGCCAGCAGUCGAGCGGCAGCAGCAGUAACCUGACGGAGCUCCAGGUGGUCAACUUAGACGCAGCACAGAACUCAAAGAGUGACUGACAGACAGCUGGAGCUGUUUAACACGGCAGACCCAGGGAGACAGACUGACUUACAUACAUCUCUAUUUAUUGAUGCCUUCCUACAGCGUUUCACAUUACACUUCUGAAUGUGACUUUAAAUAUUAUUUUAUAUAUAUACACACACACAAGGGCGUAUGUGUGGCUGACCCUUAACGGUAUACAAAAAAAAUAUAUAUAUAUACACAUACACACACAAAUGCAUAGGAAAUAUAUCACAACAUCCAUCAUUGGAACCUAUUUUCUAUGCCGUAAGAUGUUGGUUUUUUUUUGUUUGCGCGUGCGUGUUUUUGUUGUUGAAAAUGUGUAAUUACAUGUACACACACACUGCAAGGUGCCACAGCUUCACACCAGCCAAAGAGACAUUUGUUUGUCUGAAUGUUCCAGUGUGAGCAACUUGUGCACAAAUGCGUGUGUGUGUGUGUGCACGCGCAUAUCUGGGGUUUGUAAAUGGGCAGGGAGACGCUUAUUGACUUAAAAAAAAGAGACAUUUGAAAAUGUACAUAGUUUUUUUUUUUUUUUUUUUUUUAUUGAUAACUUGUAUUUUUAGCCUGGUUUAGUUUGUGCGACGGCAUGUAGUUGUUUUUUACGUAGUGGUUUUGUAUGUACAUAAAUGAUUUGCAUAAAGAAAAAUAAUUAUUUACAUGUAUAUGUAAAUUAAUUUAAUAUACCAUCAUAUGUUGAUAUACUGUCAUGCUGUUGGGAGUUUUCACUACAAGAUGGAGAAGGAACGCUGGAUUAUUUCUACAUGUUUUGAUUGUGAUAUUUGUUGGACUGUCCCUCGAACAGGAUCAAGUAUCUGGGUCACAACAUGUAAAACACAAGAUAUGAUUUACUGUUAACAUCUUCUUUACUUUAGCUGGGAAGCUUUCAGUGCUGAUGACAUGAUCAGUUAGUAUCAGUUUUGCAUGUGAGGAUCUGGCACUUUCUUAGUUUGGAACCUGUUGACAAAUCGGAUGGACAUUUCAUUUAGCUCAACUUUUAACAUGAUAUAAUUAUUUACAUCAGUGUUAACACACACACAUUUGAAUACAAUUCUGUCAUCCUUAAAGUGAUUAGAAGAGUUUGUUCACUUAUUUAUAAAUGCCAACAAACAGGUUAUCGGAUAAAAACAUGAACUUCGUGUUUAAAAAAUGAUCCAGUCUCCACUUGACUGCAGAACUUUAAUUAUGUGAUGCUCUAUCUGACUUGAGUCAGGGCAUUGGACACAAAUCUCUUGUUUAACAAGACACUGUAUAGACUGCAGUUCCACUUCAGUGCUGCAAUCAAAGCAUCAUUGUUUCCUUGUCAAGCAGUCAGUUAUUCAGCGCAGUCGAAAUGCUGUAGUAUUACAACAGUAAUGCAUAUAAAUAUUUUUGUACGAACAAGGAUCUCUUAUGAAGGAAACGUGACUUCAGGUGCUUCAAAAAUGUUAAUCUACUUCUUGGAACUACAACUUAAGACCCUGGCUGACUGCAAUCUCAGCAUGUACCUCAGCAAUCAUUAACAAUGAGAGUUAUUAGACUGAGAGCCUUCUUUCUGCACCAUAGUGCCUCUUUUUCAUGGCUGAUUUCUAAAUCACUGCUAGGCAAGGGAAAUGUAGAAUUUACUUCUUUCCAGACCACCUCACAUGACUUUGGACUUUCAUGCAAUCCUCUGCUGUGCCCAGAGAUUUUUUUUGACUCAUUUCUACAGAAUUAGCAGGACGACUGAGCAUGCUGGCUUGAAGCCAAAGAGAAUUGGACAGACCCAUGCUGACUGCUGUUCAGUUAUUCACUGGCAAGAGAGGUCAUUUUCACACUUGUUCUCUGUUCUUGUACAUGAUGGCAUCAUCAUCCUGCAGGCUUGUUUGUGAAGGACAUUUACAGGUUAAAGACAUUCAAUCCCCCAAUAUUAUCUGGUGGUUUUUCAGAAAUAGUAUUUUAAAAGGCAAUUAUUGAAGAGAAUUUGUGGUUUUCACCUUGUCAUUAAGAAAAAUGGUUAUUGUGUGUAUUUUUGUUUUGUUGUACAGACAUUUUGUAAUAAAAAAACAUGGUGAAACACAAUGAACUGUUGAAAG